rnacentral:lncRNA from 1 species
CAGCAAAUGAGCACAUGGAUGAGAGUAACCCCAGGAUGAGGUCUUCUCGAGGAGAUCACUUCCUGCCUAAUUCAGCUGAACUCCCAGCCAACUGGAACUCGACUUUGAGUUCUCAGCAGCUCAGCUGUUCAAAGACAGAUGGCUUAGGACUCAAAGAGGAAGGACACCCACAGCGGUCAAGGCCAGGAGACAUCCAAAGUACAGAGACUGCACUGUGGUCACUUGACUUCACCUGCUCUCAGGAUGCCUCUUGCACAGCUGACUCCAGUAUUUCCACCUUGCAAGAAGCAAGCCUCUGUACCUCCUCUUCACUUCUCAGACGAUGGCCCUGGCCAUCUCACUGUUCCUAUUGCCAGAAUUCCUCUCUUAUGCUGAGUGAAUGUGGACAUCUUCAAACAAGCUCCUGCUUAUCUGCUCUGGACAAACAGAGCUGUUCUUCAG